GGGGGGUCUGCUCCAGCCCCCAGUCACCUUAGACUCUCCAAAGCCUGAAGGUGACAGUGGCUAAAGCUGCAAAACAGCAAAGAUCAUGGCCCUCCCCUCCCUUUGGGAGCUCCAUCCCAGUGCUAUGUUCUGGGCAUUCAUCUAUCCUCUCGUCAGCUUUUGAUCUAUCACAUCCUGACUAAACUUUACCUCAGAUACUGCUGAUAUUUACUGAUACAACUGGCUCUGGGUCGAACUUGAAGCUGCAGCAGCAGAAGAUAUGGAAAAACUAAAAUCUUCCUCAAGCAAAUAUUAGAGUAAUUGUCAUUAUCUCACCAUGCUCUUUUCCUGGUUAUAAAUAUGCUAGAAAACAUUCUUACUGUAAUUUUAAUAAAGUGUUUCUCUAUGUUUUCUUCUGAUUCUUUUUAUUAUUUUAUAUGUUAUUUGACUAUGUAGUCAACUUAGAAUUUUUGUGCAUAUGUGUAAAAGUGACAUUGCAAGCUUGUUUUCUAUAUGAAUAAAAACUGUCUCCAU